GCUCAGCUCGAACGCUGGCGGCAUGGCUAAAACAUGCAAGUCGAGGGCGAAACCCUUCGGGGUGGAGACCGGCGAAAGGGCGAGGAAUACCUUGGAACGUACCCGGAGGUGGGGGAUAGCGUCGGGAAACUGGCGGUAAUACCCCAUGUGCUCUAUGGAGGAAAGCUUCGGCGCCUUCGGAGCGGCCAAUGUCCUAUCAGGUUGUUGGUGAGGUAAAGGCUCACCAAGCCUAUGACGGGUAGCGGGUGUGAGAGCAUGACCCGCCGCAUCGGAACUGAGACACUGUCCGGACUCCUACGGGAGGCUGCAGUAACGAAUCUUCCGCAAUGCACGCAAGUGUGACGGAGCAAGACCGCGUGCGGGAUGACGGCCUAAUGGUUGUAAACCGCUUUUCUCUGGGAAGAUGAUGACGGUACCAGAGGAAUCAGCCUCGGCUAACUCCGUGCCAGCAGCCGCGGUAAUACGGAGGAGGCAAGCGUUAUCCGGAAUUAUUGGGCGUAAAGCGUCCGUAGGUGGUUAUUCAAGUCUGCUGUCAAAGCGUGGGGCUUAACUCCAUAGAGGCAGUGGAAACUGGAUGACUUGAGUGCGGUAGGGGUCGAGGGAAUUCCCAGUGUAGCGGUGAAAUGCGUAGAUCUUGGGAAGAACACCAGUGGCGAAAGCGCUCGACUGGGCCUGCACUGACACUGAGGGACGAAAGCUAGGGGAGCGAAUGGGAUUAGAUACCCCAGUAGUCCUAGCUGUAAACGAUGGAUACUAGGUGUAGCUUGUAUCGACCCGAGCUGUGCCGAAGCUAACGCGUUA
rnacentral:rRNA from 1 species